AAUCACAGCUCUGUGUAUCCGGCAGCAAGUCCGUUACCGGGCUCUAUGUUGUUUUACUCAUCCAGGCGAGUACGCAAUUUCCGGAUAGAUGAAGGCUCUCUUCAUCAGAGCAUGAUCUUCAUUACCCUGAUUGUCCGGGACAACAUCCUGAUACAAGUUGCAAAGAGAAACUCAAUUCUCGUUUUUUUUCUGGUCUUGUUUACCUUGCUUUCUUAAGUUUUCUUUGGCAGGGAUGAAAGACGAAAAAUAUUGCUGAGAGAGCAAGAGAGCUAAAUAUUAUUGCCAAUCACAGAGUAAGCAAUGAUGGACAAUACCCCGUGGCACUUUACAAAGCUAUUUCUUUCAAAGAAGCAAACACAUCACACCAAGAAAAAAUAUCUGAAUAGGUCGAUAAAAAUUUGGACACUCGACAUGCCAUGGUGAAGACAGUAAUGUCUGCUGUAGAGAAAAUUGCGUCACUGAAUUUAGCAAGCGAAUCUAAUUUCUCACCAAGGUGAAAUAAACUUUAUUCUUCAAUCUGAAGUGGCAUUUGUUGUUUUAACCGAAAUAAACCAGCUGAACUGAUUCUUUUACAAGGUUUUAAAAAGAGGGCAGAAAUAAAUGGUUAAGAUUCGAUAGACGAAAUAGUUUGUAAUGAACGCAUCACUAUGAUUGUUUUUAUUAAACGAAUGUCUUUAAAGUUGUU